GCCCAACAACACACAGCUUAGUUGGUAGAGCAUGAAACUCUUAAUCUUGGGGUCGUGGGCUCAUGCCCCACAUUGGGCA